GCGCUACCUGAGCCGGUGCCGUUUGGGGCUGACCCGCCCGCCGGGCGGGAGGUUGCGCGAGCGCUUUCUCGGGAGAUAGUCAACCGCCGGCCUGCCGGCAGGAGGGGACGAAGAGACCGAGUAGUAAACGGAAAAGACGUUAAAAACCAAGGGGCCAUGUGUGAAAGUGAUCACCGCCGGCCGCGCUCCUCUGGCUGUUACACUCAACCGGCUCAGCUGGUCUCCCGCUCCCCCCAGGGGCGGGCAAAAGCUGAGUGGAGGAUGCGGGCAUCGAUCCCGCUACCUCUCGCAUGCUAAGCGAGCGCUCUACCAUUUGAGCUAAUCCCCCGGCUGUGGCUGCCUCCCUUCCAGUUACCUUACACGUUGUUACAAGAUGUCUGCUGACCAAUGAAGAACCAAAAUUCAGGACAUUUAUUUAGAACCAGAGUAUGAGAGAACCAUAGGCGAAGUUUUAAAAGGCAGAAAUAACUACACGUAAGCAAUAGUAAAGAAAUUAAAACACCUAAAAUAUCUGCAUUUAACCCACAAGAGAGUACUUACACUAUACGUAUCCCGACCAGUUUGCAUAUGUUUUACAGAACGUCGGUAGUGCUCAGGAAUUCAGUCUGCCUUCGAAUAAGUCUCCCACCGUCCAAGGUGGGUGGAGGUUAAAAAGAUUGUACGAAGUCCUUCGAGCCGGAAUCGAACCAGCGACCUAAGGAUUGCCACGGCUCACCCACUACAGUCCUCCGCUCUACCAACUGAGCUAUCGAAGGCCCCGCUGGUGAGGCCGUCCGCAGAUUGCCCUCUAAUGCUUACCGAGGCCUCACUACCCCGGGAUCGCAGAGCUUUCCAGAGCCUGGACUCCACUUUCUAUAGAAGCUCACACGGGCCAAGCCCCUCCAGACCACACGCAACAAGAAAGGCAGAGACGAGUGAGAGCAAAGGACCCACUUCCCAACCCCGGACGGAGGAAACGCGGGCAAUACAUUUCCCUUCCGUUUUCCUGCUUCCCACAAAACAGUGCACCCCCUCCCGCCGCCGCUCCCGGUGGCUUCCGUAGGACUGCGGAGGCCUGGAGACCCCGCUCGCGACCCUGACCUUCUGGGCAGCAGGGCCCAGCGGGGCCGGCACCCUCGCACGCUCUGCAACUGCAACGCGCCAGCCCCGUUCGCCAAGCCGACGGCUUGCUUUUGCUCUUCUUGCUCCCCAUUCCCCUUCGCUUUAUCCGGGGAAGCCAAUAAAACCCUACUGCUCUCGUGGUGGGAAGUACAUUCAUUCAGUCCAUGAACCAACGUUUUGUCGGCUAUUCGUCCCGACUAGGGCAAGAAAGAUACAAACCGCAGAGCUGCUCGAGGUUUGCAGGGCGGCGCGGGAUCCAGCUGCCCCGAAACCCCGCGAGGUGGGACUGGCGGGCGGGGCCCAGAGGGGCCCUGGGCACGGCCACGUCCACCGGCCCCGCCCCUGCCCUGCCCCCUGCUCACACCUUCACUCUUUCCCCGGGCUGCAAAGCCAGCCCACAAUCCUUUGCCCACUAGGAGCUCUGGGGGUUUCAAAACCAGGAACCUUGAAAACGAAAACCCAACUCUUGUGUGAAUCCUUGCUGGGUCGUCAGAUGGGGUGGGUGUGCGGGAAGACCUGACCUCCAUUUCCAGCUCUGCGGCCAGCUGCCUGUGCAACCUGGUGAUGAUUUCAAGCCCCGCACCGGUCCGACAUUUUUUGGGUUCUCGUGAGCUGUGCUUUUAAAUCCGAGGUCUGAUGCCGCUGAGCACAACACCUCUUUGCGCCCACCCACAAAGCAGGAUGGAUGUGUGUAUGAUAUGCUCAAUAAGGAAAUGGAGGCCUUGAUCAACACAGCAACUCGACCUGACAGACAAGGACAUUCCACCCAACAGCAUCAAAACACAUUCUUCUCAAGCACACACGAACAUUCUCCAGGAUAGCUCGCCUUAGGCAAGUCUCAACAAAUUUAAAAAGAUUGAAAUAAUACAAAGUACGAUGAAUGUAAACUACAAACUUUGGAUGACAGUGAUGUGUCAUAGGUUCACUGGCGUUGACAAUGGGUGAGGCUGUGCAAGUGUACGGGCAAGGGCUAUGUCUUUUUUGGCUCAACUUUAAUGAGAAUGUAAAACUGCUCUAAAAAUAAAGUCCAUUAAAAAUUUAGUAACUGGUAUGCUAACACAGUAAAAAAAUUACACCAAGGCAUAUCCAAAAAUGUGUCUGAAUUCAAUUAUUUUAUUCAUAGGCAGAAUAUCCAAUAUUCAAUAAAUAUUCACUCAUACCCUGAACAAUGGAAGCUCCCGUCCCCUCAAAUUUCUUCUGCCUCAAGUGUGGGGCAAUGAAAAAUACCCAGUAAAAUGGAAUAUCACAUGGGGCAAAGCAAAGUCCUUUAUCCCCUCAAGCGCUUUUGGGAGCAGAACCAUGAAGAAAAAUUU